AUGCUGGAGAAACAAUUCUUAUUUGAAUUUUCCAAAAAUGUGAGGUUUCCACUACCAUUUGGAAGAUACGGAGCCAUUGUUUUGAUUGUCACGCAUGGACUUCCACUGAAGUGUUUUUCCUCAAAGGAUGAACUAAUGGAAGAGAAGACAUAUACUGAUUCUACUUUGCAGAAAAUCAGCGGCUUCCAGCUUCUGAUGUUAGUAUUUCUAAUAACGUGUUAAAUUAACAGAAGUAUGAAUGGUGCAAGGUUUCUGCUGAGAAAUGUGCAGUUCAGUGUGUACUCCUGGCCGUCUCAUUCGUAUACUGCCUGAAGUUUGAGAUUAGUCAUCAAGGAGUGGUUUAUUUACUUUUGUGUUUCUAUAGAUAGCCCGAAGACUAUGUCAAAGCGCACCAUG
rnacentral:lncRNA from 1 species